UGCCCAGAAACACCCAGGCUCGCUGCUUUGUAGAAGCAUACAGCUCUGGACACUCAUAGUGUUCACAGGGACAUCAGGUGCAGAUGCCCUGGGUGCCAAGAGAGCAGAGCCAUGAUGAUGCCCAUAUCCAGGAGUUUUCUCAAAACUUCCCAGCGGGGAGAAUCCCUUAUGAGUGUCUGGAGGCAGAUAUAAUGGCAAAGUUUGGCCUGGAAGAGCUCAAUGAUCUGGAGAUGGAAGUCAUGAGAAAGAAGGCAGAUGCAAAUGACUUCUGGGCAGCUGCAUAUCCUUGAGGACCAGGAUGCCAUCUGGUGCCAUAAGGAGGCUGUACAAUUUACUCUGUUGGUAUCAGUCUGCAUAGCCAACCUGUGGCUUUGGGUGCACUGGUGAAGUUUCACAGGCAUCAAAACCCUGAUGGAGCUAUCCCCUCCUCCCUCUUUCCUUUGCUUCCAGGGAUAUCCUUGCCUACCCCUUUCUAUCUCCCAGCAGCCCUCAGGUAGCAGUUGAUUUAUUUUACACCUCUGCUUAGGCCUCCUGUCUGGAGAUGAGCCAUGC